UCGGAUUGCAGUCUGCAACUCGACUGCAUGAAGCUGGAAUCGCUAGUAAUCGCGAAUCAGCAUGUCGCGGUGAAUACGUUCCCGGGUCUUGUACACACCGCCCGUCACACCAUGGGAGUCGGAAAUGCCCGAAGCCAGUGACCCAACCUUUAAGGGAGGGAGCUGUCGAAGGCAGGUCUGGUAACUGGGGUGAAGUCGUAACAAGGUAGC
rnacentral:rRNA from 1 species